rnacentral:lncRNA from 1 species
UUUUUCCCUCACAUGGUGAAAACCCUAGGGGGUGCUUUCUCAUCGAGCUGCGUACUUUAAACCACUAUCCAAUCCAGAAGUUCAGUCAGUCAUAUAAACAGGAAACAGCACGCAGGCGGGCUGUAGCACAGAAGAGUGUUUCAACUCAGAGGGACUCAUUGGGGCGUCCAGGGGAGUGAAGUCUGACGGGUCGCAGCCAGAGGAGAGUCUCGCCGCGGGCAGGACGGUCCAGUCGUGUCCAUCAAGGCUGGGCGGCGUUCCCGGCCGAGAUCCAGCAGGAAGAGCUGGCGGCUGCCCGGGCGUGAGUAGACCGAGAACCCUACCUGCUCCCUCUUAUGACCUGCGCCCCCGUGCUGGCGUCGCCCUCGGCGCCGGGGGCGUCGGGGCACUGUCCGCUGAUCCCGGCAGAAAAGGAUUGACUCUCCUGCUUUCAGCCCUUCUUUGAGUCUCCUUGGCACUCGCCCACCGCAUUCCAAGUCGCCAGGCGUGUCUGUCCCUUUUUACUUCAGGAAUGGAUUCCGUUUGGUUGUUUCUUCCUUGCAGGGCCCCAAAGGCUCAUUAAACUCGUGUUUAUGGACUGAAAUGCCUCCUUUCCUUUAAUUCAGGAUAAUUCAGUAUAAACAUAUAUGGGGCUCUUCAGGGCCAGGCAGAGUUCUGGGAAAGUAGAAAUGGAUCUGA